GAAUUAGAUAUCCUGACAGAAUGAGAGGCAAGAGAGGGAAAGAAAGCACAUACAGCGGAGCGGAGGGUACGGCAUGUAUCCAAGAGAGAAGAUUUCCCACAGAAGCACUCCGAAGGACCUGCGCACAGGACGGGAGAUGUGGAUACGGGGGUCACUCUGAUCAUCAACCAGCAUUGUGAAUCAGGCACUCCCACCAACACUGAGAACUUUUGCUGAUUUUUAAGGUAAAAAAUGGUAGAAUAU